GACGAACGCUGGCGGCGUGCUUAACACAUGCAAGUCGAACGGAAAGGCCCUGCGUUUGUGCGGUUCUCGAGUGGCGAACGGGGGAGUAACACGUGAGUAACCUGCCCUUGUCUUUGGGAUAACUUCAGGAAACUGGGGCUAAUACCGGAUAGGAGCUCCUGCUGCAUGGUGGGGGUUGGAAAGUUUCGGCGGGUGUGGAUGGACUCGCGGCUUAUGAGCUUGUUGGUGGGGUAGUGGCUGACCAAGGCUUUGACGGGUAGCCGGCCUGGGAGGGUGGCCGGCCACAAGGGGACUGAGGUACGGCGCAGACUCCUACGGGAGGCAGUGGUCGGGAACAUUGCACAAUGGGCGGGAGCCUGAUGCAGAAACGCCGGGUGCGGGAUGACGGCCUUCGGGUUGUAAACCGCUUUCGCCUGUGACGAAGCGUGAGUGACGGUACUGGGUAAAGAAGCACCGGCUAACUACGUG
rnacentral:rRNA from 1 species